AACCUAGCACACCUGCGGUGUGUACCUGCGGAAGGAUCAUUAUCGAGUUACCACUCUAUAACCCUUUGUGAACAUACCUACAUGUUGCUUCGGCGGUCGGCCCCCCGGGCCCCCGGCCCCGCUCACGCGGGGCGUCCGCCGGAGGAUAACCAAACUCUGAUUUAACGACGUUUCUUCUGAGUGGCACAAGCAAAUAAUCAAAACUUUCAACAACGGAUCU
rnacentral:misc_RNA from 1 species